rnacentral:rRNA from 1 species
AACGCGAAGAACCUUACCAAGGUUUGACAUGCAGGGAAAAGCCGUAGAGAUACGGUGUCCGUAAGGGUCCUGCACAGGUGGUGCAUGGCUGUCGUCAGCUCGUGUCGUGAGAUGUUGGGUUAAGUCCCGCAACGAGCGCAACCCUCGUCCUAUGUUGCCAGCGGGUAAUGCCGGGGACUCAUAGGAGACUGCCGGGGUCAACUCGGAGGAAGGUGGGGAUGACGUCAAGUCCUCAUGGCCCUUACGGGUAGGGCUACACACGUGCUACAAUGGACGGUACAAAGAGAAGCAAAACUGCGAAGUGAAGCGAAUCUUCCAAAGCCGUUCGUAGUCCGGAUUGGAGUCUGCAACUCGACUCCAUGAAGUUGGAAUCGCUAGUAAUCGUGGAUCAGAACGCCGCGGUGAAUACGUUCCCGGGCCUUGUACACACCGAGACGAC